CCCUGAAGAAGUUGGUUCUCAGCGGCUACAGCAGGACGUCUCUGAAUGGUGCCGUUGUGGAAAAUGUGCGACCAUGCCCACAGAAGAGGAGAAUAUUUGCUGCAUGGAGAUACCGCAGGUUACUAGAAGACUACGGGAGGUCGAACUACAUCCAACGUGUAUGGUUGACCAUCCUGGAUUGGAGCCGGUCUGCCUAAAUGUUUACUCUAUUCAGAAUGCCAGCCAAAUAUAUAGAGCCGACUAUGGUCCUCUAAAUUUGAGAAGAAUACACAAUCGCUACAGGUAUCUCUCCUAUCGUUCCUUUGUGAGCUGGUGCUGGGGCCACCUGGGACGCCGUAUCCGGGUUGUCAUUCCAGCUUGUGUGGUCCUGCGUAUCCGCUCCGAGUUUCCUGCUGAGGAAGGCCACUAUGUUGGUUUUAAACAUCCCCCCGUUUGAACCUUGACACAAGGCUGCUGAUGACCGCCUCCUUGUCAGGCUUCUCAUACUGUGCCGUUAGGGGCUCUGGAACAGGGAUCUCCAACAGGGCCUCGGUGUAUGACGUAGGGUUGGGAAAGACUUCCUCAAAAAUUACAUCCAUGAUGUCAUCAACGUAACCUGUAUUGUAAAACAUGUUUUCUUUACAAAUUGGUUGGGUCUUGUGUUACUGUGUUUUUGUAUUUAUUUGAUUUUUCAUCAAGAGAAAAACAUUUUAGAAAUCCAAAAUGUGUGUCGUUUGAAUUGAUUUGAACCCUUACCAAAGGUCUGCUGUGUUUUUUGUGGUUUAGCUCUGCA